GACGAACCGUGCGAACGUUGUUCGGAAUCACUGGGCUUAAAGGGCGCGUAGGCGGGCGGGCAAGUCGGAGGUGAAAGCCCCCAGCUCAACUGGGGAAGUGCCCUCGAUACUGCCGGCCUUGAGGGGGGUAGGGGCGUGCGGAACUUCCGGUGGAGCGGUGAAAUGCGUAGAUAUCGGAAGGAACACCGGUGGCGAAGGCGGCACGCUGGGCCCACCCUGACGCUGAGGCGCGAAAGCCAGGGGAGCGAACGGG
rnacentral:rRNA from 1 species